GUUUGAAUGAUGACUUGGAUUGUCGGAUACCCCUUCACCCCCUUCAUGGGUGAGACAAAACAGCCUGACAAAC
rnacentral:snoRNA from 1 species